GAGGCUGUAGCUCAGCCGGUAGAGCAACGGACUUUUAAUCCGUAGGUCUGGGGUUCGAAUCCCCACAGCCUCA
rnacentral:tRNA from 1 species